AUCCAGACCCUUGGAGACUGUUGGCAUGGUAACGUCACCCACCAGUGAGAAGAUCACCAGGACUGGAGUGAAGGUGUCAGGUUCCUGUCAGUUUAUCACAACAUUCCCACCAGACGAGGGACACUAUCACUUUGUUGUUUCUGUCUCACCCGGCGGACGAAAUUACUCAGUGAAAUUACCCGCCGACACUAAGUGGAUUGCAGUCGAACGUCCCCGACUGCCUAGUGUGUCCUGCGGGCCAAAGCCUCAUCUCAGA